GGUAACACGUGUUGAACUUGCACGUAGUAACCUCGUGCUCAGAGAGUUGUAAUGUUCAACAAGGUGACGAGUAGCUAGAGAGGACAAUCUACUGAUACUUGUCUUUAAGUUACUUGCAGCUAAACGAAAAUUCUUAUAAUCUGAUAUUAAUACGUAAUAUUAACAACAUUCUUUGAGUAUCUGAGGUGCUGUUGGUCAACAUUAAAUAUAAAUACUGAACUACAGUAAAACAACACCAACAUUGUAGCGGUUCUUCCUUUACUUUUAGUACUGUGUUUAUUAAAGAUGGUGAGACAUGAAAUUUACCAAAUGAUGAUCAGUAUCAAACCUAUGAUGAUUCUUCUUCUGGUUCAUCAGAGCUGUCAGAUAGACACGAACUUCAACAAAUGUCAACUGACAUCAGUAUCAAGUGUACUGGAUUCAAUCAAUCUACUGGUUACACAAGCUAAACAGAAAAUACA